UAAGGAAUAUUGCUCAAUGGGAGAAAUCCUGAAGCAGCAACGCCGCGUGGAGGAUGAAGGGUCUAUGACUUGUAAACUCCUGUAAAGAAGGAAAAAAUUCCCAUUAGAUGGGAGAUGAUGGUACUUCUGGAGUAAGCCCCGGCUAACUACGUGCCAGCAGCCGCGGUAAUACGUAGGGGGCAAGCGUUGUCCGGAUUUACUGGGUGUAAAGGGUGCUCAGGCGGAUUUGUAAGUCAGAGGUGAAAUCUUACAGCUUAACUGUGAAACUGCCUUGGAUAGUGCAAGCCUAGAGUAUGGAAGAGAGUGAUGGAAUAUGUGGUGUAGCAGUGAAAUGCGUAGAUAUCAGAUAGAACACCAAUGGCGAAGGAAGUCAUGUGGUCCAUUACUGAC
rnacentral:rRNA from 1 species